AUUUAUAUAGUUUAAUAAAACAUUACAUUUUCACUGUAAAAAUAAAAACUAUUUUUUUUUUAUAAAU
rnacentral:tRNA from 1 species